ensembl:snRNA U7 U7 small nuclear RNA
UGGUGUUGCAGCUCUUUUAGAGUUUGUCUAGCAGAUUUUCUGGUACUCACUGGAAGACUAC